AAGCGUGCGCAGGCGGCUUUGCAAGACAGAUGUGAAAUCCCCGGGCUCAACCUGGGAACUGCAUUUGUGACUGCAAGGCUAGAGUACGGCAGAGGGGGAUGGAAUUCCGCGUGUAGCAGUGAAAUGCGUAGAUAUGCGGAGGAACACCAAUGGCGAAGGCAAUCCCCUGGGCCUGUACUGACGCUCAUGCACGAAAGCGUGGGGAGCAAAACAGGAUUAGAUACCCCGGU
rnacentral:rRNA from 1 species